rnacentral:rRNA from 1 species
AUGCAAGUCGCACGAGAACGCUUCUGCUUGCAGGGGCUAGUAAAGUGGCGCACGGGUGAGUAACGCGUGGGUAAUCUACCCUUGGAUUCGGGAUAACCCUUCGAAAGGAGUGCUAAUACCGGAUGAAGUCAUUUAGGCUGUGGUUUAGAUGAUGAAAGGUGGCCUCUCCGAGGAAGCUACCGUUUGGGGAUGAGCCCGCGUACCAUUAGCUUGUUGGUGGGGUAACGGCCUACCAAGGCGACGAUGGUUAGCUGGUCUGAGAGGAUGAUCAGCCACACUGGAACUGACACACGGUCCAGACUCCUACGGGAGGCAGCAGUGNGGAAUUUUGCGCAAUGGGGGGAACCCUGACGCAGCNNCGCCGCGUGAGUGNAGAAGGCCUUCGGGUCGUAAANCUCUGUCGAGUGGGAAGAACCUUCGUAUGUUGAAUAUNCAUACGGACUGACGGUACCACAGAAGGAAGCACCGGCUAACUCCGUGCCANCANCCNCGGUAAUACGGAGGGUGCAAGCGUUAUUCGGAAUUAUUGGGCGUAAAGAGCGCGUAGGCGGCUUUGCAAGUCAGGUGUGAAAUCCUGGGGCUCAAACCCGGAAGAGCAUUUGAUACUGUGGAGCUUGAGUAUGGGAGAGGGAAGUGGAAUUCCUGGUGUAGCGGUGAAAUGCGUAGAUAUCAGGAGGAACACCGGUGGCGAAGGCGGCUUCCUGGACCAACACUGACGCUGAGGCGCGAAGGCGUGGGGAGCAAACAGGAUUAGAUACCCUGGUAG